UUAUAUUUGAUGUAUAUAUUUGCAUAUUAAAUUUUGAUUUUAAAGGAAUUAAUAAUAUUUAAUAAUAUAAA
rnacentral:tRNA from 1 species